AUCUAGAUGUGAUCAUAGGAGUGAGUAGCUGAGUCAAGUGUGUUUUACUAAAUAAUAUAUAUGAUUAAGAAGUCACAUUUUUCUUACAUUUUCAACCUUGUCCCAGUUGAAGCCACCUCAGUAAAUUAUCCAAAACUUUGUGGGUUUUUAAAAAUUAUUUAAUCAUGAGAGACACAGAGAGAGAGACAGACACACAGGCAGAGGGAGAAGUAGGGUCCCUGCAGGGAACCUGAUGCAGGACUCGAUCCCAGGACCCUGGGAUCACGACUUGAGCCAAAGGCAGACGCUCAACCACUGAGACACCCAGGUGCCCCAAAACUUUGUUUUAUUUCUCAAAUGAAGCUGAAUGAAAUCUUUGUUCACAGGCAGCUCAUAGGCCAUGAAUGACCCAUUGUGACUCACAGAUGCCCUGGGUCUCUGCAUCCUGCACACAUGACUAGGACAUUUGAUGAGACUCCCUAAUAGGAAAAGACGGCUUUGAAUCCCAAAUGAACAUUAGCAUACAUACUUGGGGUUGAUGAAGUAUACUUGAGUAAUUUCUGUAAAGCCAAGGGAUAUUUUAUUGAUUCUAACCAAAUAGCAGAUUGCUGUAUUUCCCUUUGUGGUUGCCAUGUGCAUUAUGCAAAUUUGCCUUUUAAGUAUACCCCAUGAGGCAAAGAAUUUGAAAACCAUGUACCCAGAAAACCUAAAUCAGAACCCUUAAGUUGAAUGUUUUGUCCUCAGCAAUUGAGUUGACUGGGAAAAAAAAAAACAAGAACAAAAAAAUUUCAAGAAUACAAGCUCAGAUCAAUUAUCUCACUGAAAAAAAAUUAAAAAGACAAAGAACUAUCCAAAAUUUCCAAGUGAGGUCAAAAGGGCUCUGUUCCUUGUUCCUGCAAGAUUGCAGAGGAUUUCACAACAGUGAUGGGUAUAAGCGCAAGACUCAGGGACUCCGGGACAUGAUUUCAGCCUCCAUCAUGUACUAGUUACUAGAUGGGGAAAUUAUAAAUACCUGGUCUCCAGGAACCGAAACUGUAGCAGCAGUUGGACACUAUGAGUUUUGAGAGAGAAGAAUCUUUAUGUUGUUUGAAUCCUGAACAGAGUCGAAGAGAAGAGUAGAAGCUUGGGAUGAGGAAAAUCGGAGUUUCCUUUUUAUUCCUCCUUUUUUGUGUGUAUGGCUGGAAAUUUAGAGUAGAUGGUAGCCAGUUUGCAGUAAACUGUCUCCCCCUGUGGUUCUUUGGUGCUGUAUUCAGAUCCUGAUUAUUCCUGAACACCUGGUUCAUGGGCCACGUUUUGUACAAAACCGUCCUGAGCUAUCCCAGUCAGCUCAUACUACCCUCAACUGCAUGCAUAAACUGAAAUUCUCACACCUUUUGACACAGAAUCAUGUACUAUGCUAUAUGGUUUGUUGCCUUAUGAUAUCAUCUAUAGAACUAUCUUGAGAACAUUCAUUCAUUUAGUCAGUGAACAACAAUGUAUUGGGACCCUCUGUAGUCCCUGAUCAUGAAAAGUAGGAGAACGAUUGUUUUGAACAGACUGUGCGUAUCUACUGAGUACAUAUAAAUCUCUGAUGAUUUUUAUUCAUUUAAUUAAUUUUAAAAUAUUUUUAAAAUGAAUUAAUUAAUUUGUUUAUCUGAGAGAGAGAGAGAGCGAGAGCACACAAGCAGAAGGGGAAGCAGAGGGAGAGGGACAAGCAGACCCCGCAUUGAGAGUAGAGCCUGAAGGCGGCUCCAGCCCACCACUCCACAGGAGGUCAUGAUCUGAGCUGAAACCCAGUUGGUAGCUUAACCCACUGAGCCGCCCAGGUGACCCCCCCUCUGGCAAUUUUUAAAUUUCUAGUAGGAACCAAAGCUUUCUCUUUGACAGAAGUGUCUGCAUUAUUGCCACCAGCCUCCUUAGGCAUUGGGACCAUGUAGGGAUACCUCAAGACUUGCAGUUGCCUGGACAUCACUCCCUUCACCUAGCACGAGGGACUUGGAUGACACA
rnacentral:lncRNA from 12 species